GAUGAACGCUGGCGGCGUGCCUAAUACAUGCAAGUAGAACGCUGAAGCUUGGUGCUUGCACCGAGCGGAUGAGUUGCGAACGGGUGAGUAACGCGUAGGUAACCUGCCUCUUAGCGGGGGAUAACUAUUGGAAACGAUAGCUAAUACCGCAUAAAAGUCGAUAUCGCAUGAUAUUGAUUUGAAAGGUGCAAUUGCAUCACUAAGAGAUGGACCUGCGUUGUAUUAGCUAGUUGGUGAGGUAACGGCUCACCAAGGCGACGAUACAUAGCCGACCUGAGAGGGUGAUCGGCCACACUGGGACUGAGACACGGCCCAGACUCCUACGGGAGGCAGCAGUAGGGAAUCUUCGGCAAUGGGGGCAACCCUGACCGAGCAACGCCGCGUGAGUGAAGAAGGUUUUCGGAUCGUAAAGCUCUGUUGUAAGAGAAGAACGAGUGUGAGAGUGGAAAGUUCACACUGUGACGGAACUACCAGAAAGGAC
rnacentral:rRNA from 1 species